UACGAAGGGGGCUAGCGUUGCUCGGAAUGACUGGGCGUAAAGGGCGCGUAGGCGGUGCAUUUGGUCAGGCGUGAAAUUCCUGGGCUUAACCUGGGGACUGCGCUUGAGACGGGUGUGCUGGAGGGCAGGAGAGGCUCGCGGAAUUCCCAGUGUAGAGGUGAAAUUCGUAGAUAUUGGGAAGAACACCGGUGGCGAAGGCGGCACCUGGCCGUGACUGACGCUGA
rnacentral:rRNA from 1 species